UACGAGAGGCCCAAACGUUAUUCGGAUUUACUGGGCUUAAAGAGUUCGUAGGCGGCGCGGAAAGUAGGGUGUGAAAGCCCUCGGCUCAACCGAGGAAUUGCGCUCUAAACUACCGUGCUUGAGGAAGCUAGAGGUGAGCGGAACUGAUGGUGGAGCGGUGAAAUGCGUUGAUAUCAGCAGGAACACCGGAGGCGAAGGCGGCUCACUGGGGCUUUUCUGACGCUGAGGAACGAAAGCCAGGGGAGCGAACGGG
rnacentral:rRNA from 1 species